rnacentral:rRNA from 1 species
UGAGGAAUAUUGGUCAAUGGGCGAGAGCCUGAACCAGCCAAGUAGCGUGCAGGAUGACGGCCCUAUGGGUUGUAAACUGCUUUUAUAUGGGAAUAAAGUGAGGGACGUGUCCCUUAUUGCAUGUACCAUACGAAUAAGGAUCGGCUAAUUCCGUGCCAGCAGCCGCGGUAAUACGGAAGGUCCAGGCGUUAUCCGGAUUUAUUGGGUUUAAAGGGAGCGUAGGCUGUUUGUUAAGCGUGUUGUGAAAUGUAGGAGCUCAACUUUUAGAUUGCAGCGCGAACUGGCAGACUUGAGUGCGCACAACGUAGGCGGAAUUCAUGGUGUAGCGGUGAAAUGCUUAGAUAUCAUGACGAACUCCGAUUGCGAAGGCAGCUUACGGGAGCGCAACUGACGCUAAAGCUCGAAGGUGCGGGUAUCGAACAGG